rnacentral:rRNA from 1 species
UACGUAGGGUGCGAGCGUUAUCCGGAAUUAUUGGGCGUAAAGAGCUCGUAGGCGGUUUGUCGCGUCUGUCGUGAAAGUCCGGGUUAACCCGGAUCUGCGGUGGUACGGGCAGACUAGAGUGCAGUAGGGGAGACUGGAAUUCCUGGUGUAGCGGUGGAAUGCGCAGAUAUCAGGAGGAACACCGAUGGCGAAGGCAGGUCUCUGGGCGUGUA